UAACUGACUGUUAGGGAAUCCAUUUUGCUUUGCUGUUUUCAUCUUUGCGACGAGAUCAGCAAUAUUCCACAUAAUCUUUUUGGGUACACAUCCAUAAUUUACACAUGUGCCUCCAAGGCGCCCAGAUGCCUCAAUUAAAGCAACCUUGGCUCCAUGUUUGGCAGCACGACGAGCCGAAGCCAAACCGCCUAAUAUUCAUAAAUGUUAACCCAUCAAAUCCCGAAAGUAUCGAAUUGUACUUACCACUUCCACCACCAAUUACCAGGUAAUCAAAG